rnacentral:rRNA from 1 species
CUCUCUCGCGAUGUUCUCAUGCAAGUCUCCAACCACACCACCUCUGUUAGCAUCUGGCAAGCCCUGCUCGAGAGCUUUUCACCAUAGUCCAAGGCGCGCACCAUCCAGCUUCGCUCCGCCCUGGGAAACACGCGCAAGGGGGACCUCUCGGCCGCAGCCUACUUCACCAAGAUGAAGGGCAUCGCCGAUGAACUCGCAGCCGCCGGGAAGCCCCUUGGAGAAGAUGACCUCGUCGACCAAAUUCUCCAAGGCCUGGUGCACGAACCCGACUACAACGGCUUCGUCUCUGCUAUCUCCACACGCGCCGCCAUGGAUCAACAGGUCAGGCUCACUGAGCUCUUCUCGUUGCUCUUGGCGGCUGAGGCCCGCAUCACAGCCCAGCAGCACUCCACCAACCUUGCAUCUCGUGGUGGUGAACGCGGCGGCGGCCGUGGUGGCGGCGGACGUGGCGGCUACAACAACAACUCUGGCCCUCCCCGCCACAACGACAACUCCGGUGGUGGCUCUUCUGGUGGCGCGCCGCACAAGCAGGGUGGUGACCGCGGUGACCGCGAGCGCUGCCAGAUCUACAAAGAGGAGGGGCAUGGAGCGUGGCGCUGCAGAAAGCGCUACGACAGGAACUACAAUAACAAUGUCUGCAACCCCGCAGGUGGUGGUGGUGGCGGCAACAGUGGUGGCGGC